AACGAACGCUGGCGGCGUGGAUAAGACAUGCAAGUCGAACGGGGCAGUUUGGUAGUAAUAUCGAAUUGUUCAGUGGCGAACGGGUGCGUAACACGUGGAUAACAUUCCGGAAAGUGAGGGAUAGCCCAGGGAAACUUGGAUUAAUACUUCAUGUGGUCGCAAGACUAAAGCCGCAAGGCGCUUUCUGAUUGGUCCGCGGCCUAUCAGCUAGUUGGCGGGGUAAAAGCCCACCAAGGCAAC
rnacentral:rRNA from 1 species